rnacentral:misc_RNA from 1 species
UAAGAGAGCAGGCUGAACCCCAUAAU